rnacentral:rRNA from 1 species
AUUGAACGCUGGCGGCAUGCCUUACACAUGCAAGUCGAACGGUAGAGUAGCAAUACUCGAGAGUGGCGAACGGGUGAGUAAUAUAUCGGAACGUGCCCAGUCGUGGGGGAUAACGUAGAGAAAUUUACGCUAAUACCGCAUACGAUCUAAGGAUGAAAGCGGGGGAUUCGCAAGAACCUCGCGCGAUUGGAGCGGCUGAUAUCAGAUUAGGUUGUUGGUGAGGUAAAAGCUCACCAAGCCGACGAUCUGUAGCUGGUUUGAGAGGAUGAUCAGACACACUGGAACUGAGACACGGUCCAGACUCCUACGGGAGGCAGCAGUGGGGAAUUUUCCGCAAUGGGCGAAAGCCUGACGGAGCAAUACCGCGUGAGGGAAGAAAGCCUAACUGGGUUGGUAAACCUCUUUUUUUCAGGGAGGAAAAAAAUAGACGUGUACCUGAAGAAUAAGACAUCGGCUAACUACCGUGCCAGCAGCCGCGGUAAUGUGACUAC